UGGACGGAGUAAGUUCUAAGUGGACUAUGGGGUUGCCCUGGCUAGGUGAGAUCUAAAGUCCUCAGUGCUUUUUCAUGCAGUCCAUUCUAUCAUCUGUCGUCCUUCUCGCCCUGCCCCCUCCCACGAGUCCAUCACUUCGCCUGUCCUAGUUCUCUCUGCGCACGCGCAAAAGUCCUCUGGCAGUCUUUGUAGUUCCAAUCCUCAGUGGUUGGGGGCGCUUGUUGUCCGAUGUUGGCAGGUUUAGGGCAGCCCCGCAUUUUCUGCUUCCACGCGGAAGGACGAGAGGGUAAAUAGCUUUGCUUCGCAGGUUUGCCUUUUGGUGGCAGGAGGCUAACGAAUGUGAGAGUUUGUAAUUUAAAAUUAAGUCAUUUUCUCGUUUAGAACUUUGCGCCUUGUCAUUCGAAGAACUAAAAGUCCAAUUAGGGAAAAGAGCCAACAAGUAAGAACUAAAUAGUGUAUGAGUGCACUAAUAAAUACGUAAGGGAAAAUAGAUGAGGCCAUUAAUUAGGGAACACGUGGUAGUGGAAAGCUGCAGAGAGUAAAAUGCCAUUUAACCUGAGCUUUAAAAAUUGAAUAGGAGUUUAUAAAGCAAGGAAGAUGAGAAGACUCAUUUAAAGCAAAGGCAUGGAGACAAAGUGUGUGGGUAUCGCUAAAUAGUCAACUGUGACUAGUGUUUCUUAACCUUUAUGGCAUCCAUUUACUUGUUAAAAAAAUCUGUCGUUGAUGGGGGAAAAAAAUGUAAUGUAUACAUGUAAGGAUAACUUGAUCCCCUUGCUGUACAGUGGGAAAAAAAAAAAAAAUCUAUCAUUGAGCCUCCCAGGAAAAUGCAUGUAUAUAUUAAACCAUUUUGCUAUAAUUUUUUUGAAAGAAAAGGUGUGAAAGACAUUGAAGUGGCCAAGAAAAAAAUAAAACUAGAUGUCUUGUCUAGCUUACUCUUCCAGGUUAUCUCUGUCUUUCAUUGUCACUUAAUUUGUACAAGAGUCAUAAUUUUACCUUUUCAUUAAAAUUUAUCUUUUAAAAUUUUCCUGGGAUUCACAAGAAAUCUUAAAACCCACCUCAAAUUCCAUAGACUGCAGAUUAAGAGUUCCUGAGUCAGAGCAUUGACUGCAUGGUGACAGGUUGCAAGAGUUUCUACUAAAAGGUAGGCAGUGUGGAAGUCAAGCAUACCUGAGCUUGCUUACUUACCUAGCUUUAGCCAAGUUACUUAACCUUUGAACCUUCAUAUAAAGGAGUUAAAAGAAACAACCCAAAGGGGUUGUGAGGAUUAAAACCCUGUAUGUAAAGUAACGGCAUUGUUACACAGUAACUUUUAUUCUUUGCUAAAGCCCAUGAAGUCCCUUGGUUUAUUUAACAGUUUUUUUUAAAUAUAUAUAUGUAUAUAUUCAGUUAUAAGAAGAUGCUAAGGAAUUUCUAAUGUUGAAAGUUUUAACAUCAGGAUCACAAAAUUAGAUCUGUUUUAGACAUGUUACACAGCUUCUGUGAAGAAUGGAUGACUUCUAGAACAAUUUAUAAACUGUUUCUAUUAUGGGGACAGUAGUUGUGGAAAACGUUAGAUGGAGCUAAAAGGCCUUUCGCAGGUUGAAUUGGUAGGACUUAAUGACAGAUUGGCAAAUGAUAAAAUGAUAAUAAUGGUUCCAAAUUACUGAGUGUGCACUAUAUAGCAGCCAUGUUUAGUGUUUUAUUUACAUUAUUUUGAUGAAUUCUUACAACAAGCUAUUAGGUAGGUCUAAUUUUAAUAAACAUUUUAUAGACCUCAGAAAGAUGAGGUAAUUUGCUCAAGAUCCAUACAGCUAGUAAAUAGCUUGAUUGGCUAAGUAGAAUAUGUCAUCCUUAAAUAAAGUGAGGAUGGUGAGAACAGACAUGGGUAGGAAAAAUAAAAGUUUGAUUUGAAAUGUAUGGGUGACAGUAGACACAUUUGUUACCAUUCAUAAGACAUUGAGAAAGUAAACUGAAGAUAAAAAUUAUAGCAGAAGUGCUUCCGUGUACUUCCUGAUCUUCCGCAGCUAUUGUGUAGGGAAGCUAACUUGUCCUAUAGCUUGUUAUUUUCUAUUUGAUGCAUGUCUUCCUCUAAAAUGAAGGUAUAUUUGGUAAUCUACAGAAUAUAUGUUUAAGAUCGAAAAUUACAGAUAAGUGUUAUUCAUAGCAGGCAAGAUUUUCUGAACUUAAUUCUUCAAGCCACCAAAAAAUCCUUAGGAAAAGGAAAGGAGACUAUUUAUGCUGAGAUGUGAGAAUGAUCAGAAAAAUCUAAUUUCUGGGAGAAUUGUGAUUUUUGUGCUUAUGCAGUUCUGUCCACUAUUUUCUUAGAUGAUGGCUUUGACAAUGAAAAGAAUUAGAGAGCUGCUAACCUGCCCUUUAUAAUUUGUAGUUUUUCAGAAGGGAAAGUUAGAUCCUGCUGUAGUGACAAUCAGAGCUACAUUUGUAUCUUCUUUAUAAUCCCAUAAUGCUGCCUCUUUACAAAAUAACUUGAAAUGCUUGACACUUUACAGUUUAUUAGAUCCUUUUAGAUUUUAACCAACAAAUGCUGAGGUUGUGAUCAAGCUGGAGUCCCUGCAUUCACAGUAUUUAUAUUCUAGUGAGGCAGAUGAGCAAUAAAAUUAUAAUUCCAGGUAGGGAUGAAAGCAUGUAAGUAUAGAAAGUGGUGACCUAGAGGGUGUGUGGGGUUAAGGUUGGCAGGAAGGGGUAUUUUAGACUGGGUGAAAGAGAAAGCCCCUAUGAGGAAGUGACAAUCGGUAGUUCUUGUUGUGGCUGAGUGGUAACGAACCAGACUGAUAUCUUACAUGAGGAUGCUGGUUCUAUCCCUGGCCCUGCUCGGUGGGUUAAGGAUCUAGUAUUGCCAUGAGUUGCCAUGUAGGCCAUAGACGUAGCUCGUAUCCUGUGUUGCUCUGCAGCUGCUGGCCUAUGCCACAGCCGUGCCAGAUCGGAGCCACAUCUGUGACCUACACCUCAGCUCGCAGCAACACCAGAUCCUCAACCCCCUGAGUGAGACCAGGGAUCAAACCCAAAACCUCAUGGUUCCGAGUCAGAUUCCUUUCCACUGUGCCACAACAGGAGCUCCUGGAAAAGAGAUUUAUGAAACCAAGCCAAGGAGCUUGAAGCCAGAGACCCUCCUAAAGGAUGUCUGUGUAGAUGAGAAGAGAGCUCGGAUUGAAAGCAAUCCUAGGCAGCAGGUAGAGGUAGAGCAGAGUAGGGGGGACCAGAAAAAAAGGAAUUGAAAGGGAAGAAAGCGCUCCCGGAAGCCAAAUGAAGGCAGUGUUAGUGAGGGAGUAACGACAGCAAGUGCUACAGAAAGGUAAUGUGUAAUAGGAGAUAGACUGUUUCAUAGUUUUUCGUAGGGUGGUGGGAAGGAAAGCCUGCCAGGAUGGGUUGAGGUGAAAGUGUGACAUGAGGAAUGUGGUAAUGCAACACUAAUUACACUUGAUUGUUUUCUAAUGAUUAAUUUUGACCUGUAGUUCCAUUUUAUGAGGUACACUAGUAGCAACAGCUAAACAAAUACUUCAUUACUUGUAUAUUUUUAAAAUUGGUGCUUGGGUGAUCAGCAAGGAGCCUAUUCUAAAAAUGCCAAAAUUCUCCUCCUAUUGGUGAGAAUGCAUAUCUGGUUGGGGAUUUGAAAUGCAUAAUAGCUUUGUACCAUGUUACUGAAUAUCACUUUGAGACACAUUAUUUCCGUUGCUGUCUGCAAGCAUCACUAUUGGCAGUGACAGAUUCUAGCCAACGGACUCAGGAGACACAAAUAGGCUUUAAUCUAUAACUGUUUACAGAACUUUAAAGGCUACAGGGCAGAAGAUACUUAGGGACAGAGUCCCAGGCCCAGCACUAACCCAAAUCCACUGAUUUCCUCCCAGCUGCCCCUUAUCUACAGCAGAUGUGUAUGGCAUUUACAGAUAAAGGCAAAGGUGUGUGGGGCACCUUGAUAUAUAUGUAAAAGCUUUAGCCCUUUUGCCUGCAUAUCUCUUAUGUCCUUAUGUCGUCCUGGUCACAGGCCCAAGGCCAGCAUACCAAAUGAUAGCAGCUCCCACCCCCAGUGCAAUGGGAGACAGUAAGAUAUGUCUAAACUCUUGUUUCCCAGGAGAUUGUUAUGGGAGACAGGUUAUUCUUUUUAGUGAUUACUGUGUAUUAGGGCGGGGGGUGAUGGGUAAGCAUUUUAGGCAGUUGUAAGUGCAAUGGAGAAAAAAAUAAGGUGGGGGAGAUAAAAGCAUCCAGAAAUUGCAUUUUUAAAUAAUGCAGUGGCCAGUACUUCAACUAGUUAUAAGCUCAAAAAGCCCACCUUAAGAGUAAAGGAAGUGUCCAAGUUUCCUUAAUUUUUACAUUUUGGCUUUUUACAUUUUGGCUUUGCUAACUUAAACCUUGAUUGAGAUUGCUUUUUAAGGUAAAAGCAAAGCCAAGUGAGAAUUAGUGUCGUCGAAGAGCUUAGAAAACAAAACCUAAAAAACACAAGGGCAAUGAAAAUUUCCACAGCUGAUGGUGAAACUCUGCUCUCUAGGAGUUCCUGUUGUGGGAAUCCGACUAGUAUCCCUGGCCUUGCUCAGGUGGUUAAGGAUCCAGCACUGCUGAGCUGUGGUCACAUUUGCUGCUUGGAUCCUACACCUGGGAACUGACUGUCACAGGUGCGCGUAUUUUCCUAUAUUGCUGAAUUGCUUCUGAUUUACAGGAAUGGAA
rnacentral:lncRNA from 9 species